AUUGAACGCUGGCGGCAGGCUUAACCCAUGCAAGUCGAGCGAGCGGCGGACGGGUGAGUAAUGUAUGGGAAUCUGCCUGAUGGCGGGGGAUCACUACUGGAAACGGUAGCUAAUACCGCAUACCAUCAGAUGUGCCCAUAUGGGAUUAGCUAGUAGGUUGGGUAACGGCUCACCUAGGCGACGAUCCCUAGCUGGUCUGAUAGGAUGAUCAGCCACACUGGAACUGAGACACGGCCCAGACUCCUACGGGAGGCAGCAGUGGGGAAUAUUGCACAAUGGGCGCAAGCCUGAUGCAGCCAUGCCGCGUGUGUGAAGAAGGCCUUCGGGUUGUAAAGCACUUUCAGCGAGGAGGCGUUACCGACAGAAGAAGCACCGGCUAACUCCGUGCCAGCAGCCGCGGUAAUAC
rnacentral:rRNA from 1 species